CAGCAGUCGCCGCGGUAAUACGAAGGUCCCAAGCGUUGUUCGGAAUCACUGGGCGUAAAGGGAGCGUAGGCGGCGUGGUAAGUCAGAUGUGAAAUCCCGGGGCUCAACCCCGGAACUGCAUCCGAUACUGCCAUGCUUGAGGGUUGGAGAGGUAGCUGGAAUUCUUGGUGUAGCAGUGAAAUGCGUGGAUAUCAAGAGGAACACUCGUGGCGAAGGCGAGCUACUGGACAACAUCUGACGCUGAGGCUCGAAGGCCAGGGUAGCGAAAGGGAUUAGAGACCCCAGUAGUCCCUGUCUCUUAUAU
rnacentral:rRNA from 1 species